GCCAGCAGCCAUAUCACCCUGCAGCUCACAACUAGCAGCCCACUGAUACUAAGAAGGUCUGAGCCAGGGCAGUACCUGGAUGGGAGACCUCCUGGGAAAAACCAAGGUUGCUGAUGGAU
rnacentral:rRNA from 1 species